GUUAAAAAGCUCGUAGUUGGAUUUCUGGGAGGGUGCCAAUGUCCGUCAACGUGCGUGUGCAGCGGCGCCCUUCCAUCCUUCUGUUAACGCCUCUGGGCAUUUAUUUGCUGGUGGCGGGCUCAGAUAUUUUACCUUGAGAAAAUUAGAGUGUUUCAGGCAGGCUAGGCCGGAAUACAUUAGCAUGGAAUAAUAGAAUAGGACUAUGGUCUCUUUGUUGGUUUGAGGGACUAUGGUAAUGAUUAAUAGGGAUAGUUGGGGGCAUUAGUAUUUAAUUGUCAGAGGUGGAAUUCUCAGAUUUGUUAAAGACUAACUUAUGCGAAAGCAUUUGCCAAGGAUGUUUUCAUUAAUCAAGAACGAAAGUUAGGGGAUCAAAGACGAUCAGAUACCGUCCCAGUCUUAACCAUAAACUAUGCCGACUCGGGAUCGGGGGGCGCGAACUAUCCCGCCUUCGGCACCCGUAUGAG
rnacentral:rRNA from 1 species